GUAGUCGGAUUUACAUCAAUUCAUAUGUAUUGAGGUGGAUUGGAGUGAAACUUGAACUAAAUUCCACCGCAACCCACACCAACACCAACACACAUGAAUUGAAGUGAAUCCGAUA
rfam:Sorghum bicolor cultivar BTx623 chromosome 3, whole genome shotgun sequence.